rnacentral:misc_RNA from 1 species
ACACCUCAACCCUCCAGUGUUUUUUGCAUUGCAGGUGUUGGUAGUGAGCGCUGCCGGUCUUUUGGAUCGGCUCGCUUUAAAAUCAUUAGCUGGACCCAUUCUGACCUGGUUCUACUCGGCGUAAUAAGUUAUUAUCGUCGAGGACGCCUGGCCUUUGUAGGCAGGGCGGCCACAGUAAGGGUGUUUGAACCGCUUCCAACGCGUCUUGCUCUUGUAGCAAACACUUGAAC